CCCAGCGUCCCCACUCAGCAUCCACCUGUGCAGUGUCCUCCGCGGCCGCGGACACCCCGGCCCGCCCGCCUCCUCAGAUCCGCUCCAGAACCUGUCCUGUCUCGCCCCAGCCUCUGCUCCGGGGGCCACGGGAGCCCCGCUUGUCGUCCUGCCUCCCUAGGGGCUCCCCCGGGGUAGAGAGGCCCGCACCCCGCCCCGCACCUGGCCUUCUCUCCUGGGGCAGCCCCUGCAGGUGCACGCAGCCCCUCCUCCACUGUGCUGGGGGUGGGGGCUGCCCUGCGGCUGGGCCCUCCCUCCCUCAGCUCCGUGCAGGCCACGGCUCUGCUCCCUGCCCCUCCUCCCGCCUCCUUGACUCUGCCACACGCACACGUCUGCACACACUCACGCGGUCACCCUUACUCCCCUCUCCCCGCGUCAUGCUCCCACUUCCCCUGGCCUUCCAGGGCUCCUGGUCUGCAAUCCGUCUUUUUGGUGUAUGUCCCGCAAACUUCUAGUAACUACUGCUUCAGAGAUUGACCGCGCCUUUGACAGUGUUGCCCAAGGAACGUUGGUUGGGGUCGUUUUGGAAUCGGGGCGAUGCCCCACCCGGCCACGGAUGUAUUAAGACCCAGAGAAAUGCUCUUAGCGAUUCUGCUGCCGGUGGCCUUGGGGCGGCUCCGAGCGCCCGCUCUCCCCACUCCCGUCUCCAGGGUCGCUGCAGCAGAGGCUCUGUCCGUGAGCCCGCCGGGUUUUCUGGACUCGUAGGACGGGGGACAGUCCCACCAGUUUUCAGUCACAGGCACGAGGGCGUGCGCGGUGCCAGCAGCUCUGCGAUGACACCAGGAUGUCGCGGUGAGGGGGCAAAGGCCGCCGAGGGCAGCGCUGAUGCGUGACUCACGGUGGCCCAGAGCUGCCCCGGUCCCUGCUCUGCCCGCGUGUGCAGCAAAGCGAGACAGAACAGAAACGAAGCCCGGUGUCUCUCCAGAAUGUCCUUGGCGAAACCGUAAAAACUGAUUCUGCUAAAUCCUGACCUUGGAGUUGACAUGUUGAUGUUCUCGUGACAAAAUGGGAAAAACACAGAAAGCAAGUGCACUUUAAAGCAAAGGGUGGGACGCCCAGGGGCUCAGCGGUGGAGCGCCUGCCUUCGGCCCAGGGCAUGACCCCGGGGUCCCGGGGUCCCGGAUCGAGUCCCAAGUCGGGCUCCCCGCAGGGAGCCUGCUUGUCCCUCUGCCUGUG